GAAGCGAAUGACAUUCGCCGGCAGGCGCAAAUGGUCCUGGCCGAUAAAGAUGUCGUAGGUUUCGCGGCU
rnacentral:sRNA from 1 species